AUGCAUGCAUUCCGUGUGUUGGUUAAACAAUGUGGUUUCAUAGAUCUCGGGUACAGUGGUCCAGCGUAUACAUGGACCAAUAGGCGCUACACUUCAAAGCCAACUCUUGAGUGCCUUGAUCGAUGCCUUGCUAAUGCAGAUUGGUGUAAUAUCUUCCCUAAUUCCAAUGUUUUUAAUCUGCCUAUAAUUUUUAGUGAUCAUGCUCCUAUUCUUUUAUCCACUGAUGGCCAAUAUCGGAAGCCUAAAAGGAACUUCAAGUUUGAAAAUUGGUGGCUUAUGGAAAAUGACUUCCAUGUUCAUGCUAAGAAUGUUUGGUCUAGCUCCAAAAAUAAGUUGUUCCACAAUAGGAUUACUAACCUUGCAGGGGCUUUAAGGAAGUGGUGCAGAAAGAAGAAACCGAUUCAACAAGAGCUGGAUUAUUUAGGUGAGCAAAUAAGAAAUAUACAAAUGCAGCCGACUCAGGUACAUGAUUUUCCUUUAGAAGCCUCUCUUGUGAGUAGAUAUGAGCAAAAUAUGGUCAAGCUUACUGAAUACUACCAACAGAGAGCCAAAAAGCAUUGGGCUAUUAAUGGGGAUCGUAAUACUACAUUUUUCCAUCACGCUGUCCUCAAAAGAAGAAGAAAGAAUAGGAUAGCUUCCAUAAAAGAUGACAACAAUGUGGUGCAUGUUGAACCAGAUGCUAUUGCCAAUGUUUUUAUCCAAUAUUUCAAAAAUCUCUUUUCCUCCUCUAAUAAUAAUCAUGGCAGACCUUACAUACAUUCUGGGUGA
rnacentral:rRNA from 1 species